UACGAAGGGGGCUAGCGUUGCUCGGAAUCACUGGGCGUAAAGCGCACGUAGGCGGCUUUUUAAGUCAGGGGUGAAAUCCUGGAGCUCAACUCCAGAACUGCCUUUGAUACUGAGAAGCUUGAGUUCGGGAGAGGUGAGUGGAACUGCGAGUGUAGAGGUGAAAUUCGUAGAUAUUCGCAAGAACACCAGUGGCGAAGGCGGCUCACUGGACCGGAACUGACGCUGAGGCGCGAAAGCGUGGGGAGCAAACAGG
rnacentral:rRNA from 1 species